AAGUUCAAGUCUUCCCGGGCCCACCAUUUGCAGCAGCAAAUGAGUUUGCUGUAGCGAAUGAGGUUUGCUGUAGCGAAUUGUGGUUUGUUUGGGUUUACCUGAUCCUGGCGGUUUGCUGUCAGGUGUUUGCGAUGGUUGGGGCUGUAGCUCAGCUGGGAGAGCACCUGCUUUGCAAGCAGGGGGUCAGCGGUUCGAUCCCGCUCAGCUCCACCAAAUUCUGUCCUCACGGCGAAAGCCUGCGGACGGCGCGCCGAACGAUCGGCGACGGCCUCUGGCCUGUAUUUGGCGGAUUGUUGCUGGCGGUGAAUGAUAUCCUUUGAAGAAAUAAAAGUUUUGCAUCGGCUUAUGGCUGAUGCGUGUUCUGCAUACAUUGUGAAGAGAAGAUUGAUCUGGAGGCUUCCAGGUGUCGGGUUUUGCCCUUUUGGGUUUAACUUGGCGUCCGAGCCCAGUUCUGAUGAUCCCAUGGAUGGCCUAGCCGGCCGGAUAUGGGUGAAGGACUGGAGGUAGGAAGGAAGCUUGUCGCUCUGGGCCGUUGUUGUUUGCUGAUCUUUAGGGAUCAAGCAUCUGACGGACGGCUUGAUUACCGUUGCCUGACCGCGCGGUAUCGGAUCAUAUCUCGAGAAGCUGGUCUUAAGACAGGCUGCAAGCGAGCUGCUCGGCGUAGCUCCAAUAAAGCAGACCUGUCGAACACGUUAAUGGCAUUGUUAGAAAGCGUGAUUGUAAAAGGUAAUCACGCAUGUUUGGCCCGACCGCACGGCAAUCGCAAGGUUGUCCGGAUGGUCGGAUUUGGCACCCCGCGAGGCGAAAGCGAAGCGGACAAGGUCUGCCAAAUCAAACAAAGACGAUGAGCAUUGGCAAUGAGAACGAUUAAGUGUCGUAAGGGCAUUUGGUGGAUGCCUUGGCAUGCACAGGCGAUGAAGGACGUGAUACGCUGCGAAAAGCCGUGGGGAGCUGCG
rnacentral:misc_RNA from 1 species